GCGGGUGUGGCGGAAUGGUAGACGCAGAGGAUUCAAAAUCCUCCGCCGCAAGGCGUGAGAGUUCGAGUCUCUCCACCCGCACCA
rnacentral:tRNA from 1 species